AGCGAACGCUGGCGGCAGGCCUAACACAUGCAAGUCGAACGAACCUUUCGGGGUUAGUGGCGGACGGGUGAGUAACACGUGGGAACGUGCCUUUAGGUUCGGAAUAACUCAGGGAAACUUGUGCUAAUACCGAAUGUGCCCUUCGGGGGAAAGAUUUAUCGCCUUUAGAGCGGCCCGCGUCUGAUUAGCUAGUUGGUUGAGGUAAUGGCUCACCAAGGCGACGAUCAGUAGCUGGUCUGAGAGGAUGAUCAGCCACAUUGGGACUGAGACACGGCCCAAAGGCGGACGGGAGGAAGGGGCGGGAACUGGGGACAACGGGGACAAAGGCAGGCGAGUCGACGCGGAUGGAAUGAGGGAGGUCUUAGUAUGGUAAAAUGCUGGCAGCGGGGAGGAAAACGACGGAAGCGGAAGAAGAUGCCCCGGGCAAGGCCGGACGCGCAGCGGGGGUUAUAGGCGGAGCAGCAGACGGCCGAGC
rnacentral:rRNA from 1 species